AGCUGAGUGUUGGUGACAGAUUGGGAGAGAAGAAAUAAACCCACAGCACUGUGCUUUAAAGCAACCCCAUGGAAAAAAAAAACAGGGAUCUACCAAUACCACUGAAGUCCCUUCUGUAAACCAUGCAACCAGCUGUUGUCCCAGUUCAUGAUUUCUCUGUCCCAACAGCAAACAGCCUAAGGAGGAGCUGUUUAUAGGUUGUGCCUGCUAAAUGUUGGAGAUCAGGAAGUGCACACCCAUCCUUUUUGCCUUUCAUGCUGAGGACAGGUACAACAGAGUCAUGAUCUCCUUCUGGCAACUGGAUGAGAAGGCAGUGCCACUGCAAAGGAAGGAUUACUGAGGCACUGUUCGAGUUGUAUUCAAAGGGAACACGAGUGCUGUGCAUUACACACAUCCCCAUCACCACAGAACUGUGUUUGGGGAAAUGGAGAACCGAACGGAUCCUUCUUUACUUCCACUCAUUUUCAGGGUGGCUCUUCCCAAAGAGAGAUAAGCAGUCAGAGUACGUUCCUUGAAGAGUUGGGCCUAGCAAUAUGGCAGCGCACAUUCGGUAAGAAACCUCGUGAACUGCUGCUACUGAGGUAAU